rnacentral:tRNA from 1 species
UGGCUAAGUGGUUAAAGCUCUCAGCUGCUAACUGAAAAGUUGGUAGUUUGAACCUACC